UACGGGGGGAGCAAGCGUUGUUCGGAUUUACUGGGCGUAAAGGGCGCGUAGGCGGCCACCGCAAGUCGGUUGUGAAAUCUCUGGGCUUAACCCAGAAAGGUCAACUGAUACUGUGCGGCUAGAGUGCAGAAGGGGCAACUGGAAUUCUUGGUGUAGCGGUGAAAUGCGUAGAUAUCGAGAGGAACACCUGCGGCGAAGGCGGGUUGCUGGGCUGACACUGACGCUGAUGCGCGAAAGCCAGGGGAGCGAACGGG
rnacentral:rRNA from 1 species